UACGUAGGGACCAAGCGUUGUUCGGAUUUACUGGGCGUAAAGGGCGCGUAGGCGGCCAUGCGUGUCUCCCGUGAAAUCCCUCGGCUCAACCGAGGACGUGCGGAAGAAACUGCAAGGCUCGAGUCCGGAAGAGGGGGGCGGAAUUCCCAGUGUAGCGGUGAAAUGCGUAGAUAUUGGGAGGAACACCAGUGGCGAAGGCGGUCCCCUGGGCCGGAACUGACGCUGAGGCGCGAAAGCGUGGGUAGCAAACGGG
rnacentral:rRNA from 1 species